ACGGAUCGCGACCUCAGCCGUUCACUUCACUUCACACGGAUCAACUUUUCAAUUCCUUUCUCUCUAACAACUCAAACAUCUCACAAAACAAUCAGACCUUCUCUCUCUCCCUCGGCGCGACUCAAGAAAACUAUGCCUGCCAUAUCUAUCACCAGAUCCGUUUCAUGACCAGAUCUGUGAGCCACCGCCUAUUCCCCUCCGCCUUGUUACGCUACUUCAAUCGCGGCUUCUCCUUCAUUCCAGGGCUUUGCUGAUGUAAGUAACAAUUGAGUCAAUAUCAAUCGGUGAUGAGUGUAGCAGUUGAUUGAAGGGUCGAAACUGAAUCACCUUUCAUGGGAUUUGAAACUCUAUGGAAUUGUUACAAUCAGAAGCAUCAAGCCCAAAGUCCUCAGUGAAAAUUACAUCAAAUUUGUUAAGUCAACAUACUUGGUGUGGUCGCUGACCCUAAUUUGAAACGGUUUCAUGGGUUUUUGUUUGUAAAGGUAUAAAUAUUUAGUAUUGCACCAUUUACCAUGAUUCUGACUAAUUUGGGCUUUGAUUUGAAGCCCUUUAUUUAUGAGUUUGCAUUUUGAUUUUGGAUCUAUUUGCUUGUUUUUCUCGAAUUUGUAAUGACUGAAAGGUAAACCCUAAGUUAGUGAUUUCAAAAGUUUAAGCUUGCUGGUUUAAUUUGAUGGGUUGGUGUUAAGCUUGGCUGAGUUUGAUACUAAUCAAUGAGCAGGUCACAUCUGUCCUAUGAUUAUCACUUCCAUUAUUUUGAUACACUAUUUUUCUAGGUGUUUUGACUGAAGUAACCACCGUUAAUAGCUGCAGAUAUUUUCGGAUCUGAAGUAUGAUAGGCCAAACGAAUUGAUGGAUCGGCAAAUUUCUAAUGAGAUAGAAGCGAUUGCGGCUUUUUAGAAAUGUUGCUCAGCCUGGUUUCAUAUAUGGAUUUAAGGAGAUUUAUGACCAUUUGGCGCUGUUGAUAGUUGAAGAGAUGAAUAUCUUAACGACGGCUUUCUGGAGAUAUGACAAUAUAAUCCGAAUUGGGGUUUGUCUACAAAGCGCAUUAGAAAUUUCUAUAGAAGUCCAGAUAUGUCAGAUGGUGUCGAAUUCUCUGACUUUACAACACCUAUUGAGAAGAUUGGGCUAUUAAAAGACAAGAUGAAAAGUAUUUGGAGUAGAAUCCCCAAUUCUGGCACCUGAAUCACAGUUUUGUCGUGAAGGAGAUCGAAAAUGUGAACAAGAUAAAAAUGGCGAUGUUUUCAAUCAUAUGAUGAAUUUUCAAGAGUUUGGUGAAAAGAACAGGAGGAGAAGUGAACUGGUUUUAGCGCUGAAGAAGUUAUUUGAAGAGCUGAAGAUCAAAUGCAAUCUUCUUCCCAAGACAUUCAUUUGCAUAAACCGGAAACUACAAGCGGGGCCACCAAAUAAUUACACAACCUUAUGUUUAAAGGUCUCCUGAUCCGGUUACCGGGACUAGAAACCGGUCUUUUACGGGAGUUAUUCUAGGCAGAAAACACGCCUGGAUAUGUGGUUUUCUUCAGUAUGUGAGUUUUUAUGGAACUGCGGUUGCUUAUGUUGUAACAACUUUGACUUAUAUGAGGGCGAUUUUGAAAGCCAACUGUUACCAUAAAGAAUGGCGUGAUGGCGAUUGCGAAUACGGUGGCAACACUUGUAUGUUGUUGUUUGGAGUAGUGUAGAUUUUAACGUCACAAAUACUGGAUUUCCAUAGCAUGGUUUUGGUGUCUGUUGUUGCGGCCAUAAUGUCCUUUUGUUACUUCUCUAUUGGUUUGGGGCUCGGUUCUGCUCCUUUAUGUUUCUAUCCCCCACUCCGGUUUUUGGUAGGGGUUUGGCGUUUUGAAAGUGACUUAAAAGUGGAGAAAACGCCAAACACCCUCUAAGAAUUCCGUGUGAUCUGAUCAUUUGAAAACACCGCAGAGAAUGGUAAGAUUGCUGGGAGCAUUAUAGGAUACCCGGCUGUUAGUGUAGCUAAUAAGUUAUGGCUAACUUUUCAAGCACUUGGAGACAUAGCAUUCGCGUAUCCAUAUGAGCUUAUUCUUUUGGAAAUUCAGGAUACUGUGAAGUCACCACCAGCGGAAAACAAGGUUACAAAACACGCUUCAGCAAUAGCGAUUCUUGCGACAAGUUUUUUCUACCUUGGAUGCUGCUGCAUUUGGGAAUGAUACACCGGGAAACCUCUUGACAGGCUUCAGGUUUUAUGAACCUUAUUGGCACGUCGCCUUUGCUAACGCCUGCAUUAUAAUGCAUCUAAUAUGAUAGAAAUGUAGAUAGUGCAAAGAAAGGCGGAAGCAUGGAGUCGAAAAUGGGUGGUUCUUGAAAUAUUCAGUGGUGUUCUGAUGGUUGUAUCGGCGGUGGCUUUAGUCGGGUCGGUAGCUGGACUCAUAGAAGCAAAGUUGAUGUAGUUAUUAGGAUGGUAACAAUGUAUUAUGCAUGGCUUAUUUGGUCUUAUAUGCCAUUAAGAAAAAUUGUAGUAUUCUAAGAGAAUAACUACAGUUUUUGUCUAGACUAAUUAAGUAAUUAUUAGAUUUACUUGAAUGUAAAAAGGUGUAAACAGGUUGCUCUUCAAU
rnacentral:lncRNA from 1 species